UGACAUUGCAAUCUUAGACUGACAUUAUGU
rnacentral:piRNA from 1 species